rnacentral:tRNA from 1 species
GGGCCCGUAGCUCAGUUGGUAGAGCAAUUGACUUUUAAUCAAUUGGCCACAGGUUCGAAUCCUGUCGGGCUCACCA